rnacentral:rRNA from 1 species
UUAUCAAAAACAUCGCUCUUUGAAACUUACAGAUAAAGAGUCGUGCCUGCCCAGUGAAUUUUUUUAACGGCCGCAGUACCCUGACUGUGCUAAGGUAGCAUAAUCACUUGUUUUUUAAUUGAAAGCUUGUAUGAAUGGCUUGACGCAGGUAAAGCUGUCUCUUUUAUAUUAAAUAAAAAUUAAUUUUUAAGUGCAGAAGCUUAAAUGAAACCAAAAGACGAAAAGACCCUAUCGAGCUUGAAAAUUAUAAUUAAAUUAAAUUUAUAGUAAAAUAAUUUUUAAUUAAUUUUUUUUGUUGGGGCGACAAAAGAACAAAUAAAGCUUCUUUUCAUUUUAUAAAUUUAUAAAUUUAUAGAUCCAUAAAUUAUGAUUAAAAGAAAAAGCUACCGUAGGGAUAACAGCGUUAUUUUUUCAAAGAGUUCUUAUCGAAGAAAAAGUUUGCGACCNCGAUGUUGGAUUAAAGUAACUUUUAAGUGCAGAAGCUUAAAUAGUGGGUCUGUUCGACCCUUAAACCUUU